rnacentral:lncRNA from 1 species
AUGGCAGAUCUGCAAGUAGCUUGGGUGAGGGGCCCCAGGUCCAGCGAAAUUCAAGGCUUGGCUUUUUCAGUGUUUGCCCUCUUGCCUCCAUCAAAAGAUGGGCAUCCUGCCUGUUCUUGGACCAUGCAGCCAAGAAGAGAGGAGAAUGGCUACAGGCAAUCUCCGGCUUCAUACACCCCAGCCUACUUGACCAAAGCACAUGCCAAUCCCAGGGAAGGACUGUCAUUGGCCUGGCUUAGGUCAUCAUCUGAUGAAAGGCCAGCGGUGGCAGCACGGUCAGAACCACUCGGAGUGAGCGAGGAGGAGCAGCCCCAAAGAAAGGGGACACUCUUACCAUAAUAACAGAAGAAGUGAUGCUGAACUGACAAAACAACCACUGUCUACUCGACCUGAAUCCACCAUGCUUUGAUAAUACUCACUAGUAAUAAUACUCUAGUAAUCAAUACCAAGGAACAUGAUUACUUUGCCUCUCUCUGAAAUAUCAAAACUCCUGAUGAUCCGGCAGUGUUAAAGCGUCAUUGUUGUGUUUGAAGUGUGUGUGUGUGUUCAUUUUCUGCUUAAGACAGAUGUUCUAAAGAGGAAAAUUAUUUUUCUUUUUUUCAUUGAGAUAUAAUUGGCAUAUAACAUUAUAUUAGUUUCAGGUGUACAACAUAAUGAUUUGAUAUUUGUGUAUAUUGCAAAACGAUCAUCACAGUAAAUCUGGUUAAUAUCCAUCACCAUACAUAGUUGCAAUGUUUUUUUCGGGUGGAAAAUUAUUUCUUAAGCUGGGUGAUGGCUUCGUGGGUACUUCCCAAAUUGUAAUGCACACACCACUUAUCCCAGGGGCUUGUUAAAAUGCAGAUUCCAGUUCAGCAGGUCUGGGGUGGGACCGAAGAUUCCGCAUUUCUGAGCCACCAGGUGAUGCUGAUCUUGCCAGCUCACGGACCACGCUUUGUGCUGCAAGUCUUUAUAGUGAUCUAAUUUUUGGACUGGGAAGGAGGAAUAGGCAGAGAUACGACUGUUUUAACAGAAUCAAGUCAAAAAUGCAAUCUCAGACUUGAUAAAAAAAUCUAGAUCACCGUUCUUCCCUCCAGAAGCUCUCGUCCAGGUUUCGAUGGGCAGCUGGCCCUGUGGUCUGUUUGACUCUGUCAAAGCCCCGCCCCUGCCAGACGCGUCUGAUCUGUGACUCGGGAUGAAUUUGAGAGCAGGGCUGUCAAGUGGCGAUCAGAGGGCCCCAGGAAAGAGUUAAACCCUCUGGGAAGCAGAGUACCGCAGGCCCGGGCUGACCUGGCUAUAAGGGUUAACACUAUUUUGUCUUUCAGGACUGUUUGUUAUAUCAGGUUAGAGCAGGCAGGAGGUC